GGGGGAAUUCAGCAAUUCUUUGGUUGCUAAGUGUGAGUGACAACUGUUAAGCAUGGCCCAAGGAGCCACUGAUCAAAGUAAUGUGGAAACUGCUGACCCAGAGGAGAGUUCUCCAAAUAUGAUUGUCUACAGAAAGAUGUCCACCAUAGGUCCAGGUAUUAGGUCCAGGCAUUUCAUGUGGGUCCCAUGGCGAUUCUUUGGAUACCAGUUGAUGUUGCAAAUUAAUUGCUUACUGUUUUGCUGAGAAACUGACAAACCCCAUUAGUUAGGAGGAAUGUUUUGCCUGCCCACACGUUUGAAAGUAAAUUCAUGCGUUCCUCAGUGGUACUUGGUGAGUUCUAUAAUCAUGCUGAUGUUUUUUUGUGUAUACAGCUACUAAUCAGCUGCCAGAGAGGGAAUGAAGCUUUCCUUCUUGAUGGCACAAAUAGUUGUUUGAUAUUAUGGUGGCCACUUUCUUCAAGAGUAGAACAAUAGCUGCAUUUUCAUCUGGGGUCCAGUGGUCUCUAAUCCCAGCUGUAGCACCAGUACACAUUUUACAUAGCUCCGUACAAUUGUCUUUGAUCAAUGAAUUCUAGGAUUCAAAUCAGGCUGGGGCGUGGCGCAUCUUCCUCUUCCUACAAAAUAAAUUCUUCCUCAGGAAGGGGGAGAGUGGGAGC
rnacentral:lncRNA from 1 species